rnacentral:rRNA from 1 species
GGACGAACGCUGGCGGCGUGCCUAACACAUGCAAGUCGAACGAACGGCGAGAAGCUUGCUUCUCAAACUUAGUGGCGGACGGGUGAGUAACGCGUGAGCAACCUGCCCUUCAGUGGGGGACAACAGUUGGAAACGACUGCUAAUACCGCAUAACGUAUCGAGAGGGCAUCCUCUUGAUACCAAAGCUUUAUGUGCUGAAAGAUGGUCUCGCGUCUGAUUAGCUAGUUGGUGAGGUAACGGCUCACCAAGGCGACGAUCAGUAGCCGGUCUGAGAGGAUGAACGGCCACAUUGGGACUGAGAUACGGCCCAGACUCCUACGGGAGGCAGCAGUGGGGAAUAUUGGGCAAUGGGGGAAACCCUGACCCAGCAACGCCGCGUGAGGGAAGAAGGCUUUCGGGUUGUAAACCUCUUUUACCAGGGACGAAGAACGUGACGGUACCUGGAGAAAAAGCAACGGCUAACUACGUG